rnacentral:rRNA from 1 species
AAUCAACGCUGGCGGCGUGCCUCAGACAUGCAAGUCGAACGAUUAAAGCUCUCUUCGGAGAGUGUAUAGAGUGGCGCACGGGUGAGUAACACGUAAGUAAUCUACCCUCGAGUGGGGAAUAACAACCGGAAACGGUUGCUAAUACCGCAUAAUGCAGCGGCACCGCAAGGUAACAGUUGUUAAAGAUUUAUCGCUUGAGGAGGAGCUUGCGGCAGAUUAGCUAGUUGGUAGGGUAACGGCUUACCAAGGCUACGAUCUGUAACCGGUCUAAGAGGACGGUCGGUCACACUGACACUGAAUAACGGGUCAGACUCCUACGGGAGGCAGCAGUCGGGAAUUUUGGGCAAUGGGCGAAAGCCUGACCCAGCAACGCCGCGUGAAGGAUGAAGUAUUUCGGUAUGUAAACUUCGAAAGAAUAGGAAGAAUUAAUGACGGUACUAUUUAUAAGGUCCGGCUAACUACGUG